rnacentral:rRNA from 1 species
GACGAACGCUGGCGGCGUGCUUAACACAUGCAAGUCGAACGGAAAGGCCCUGCUUUUGUGGGGUGCUCGAGUGGCGAACGGGUGAGUAACACGUGAGUUACCUGCCCUUGACUUUGGGAUAACUUCAGGAAACUGGGGCUAAUACCGGAUAGGAGCUCCUGCUGCUUGGUGGGGGUUGGAAAGUUUCGGCGGUUGGGGAUGGACUCGCGGCUUAUCAGCUUGUUGGUGGGGUAGUGGCUUACCAAGGCGUUGACGGGUAGCCGGCCUGAGAGGGUGACCGGCCACAUUGGGACUGAGAUACGGCCCAGACUCCUACGGGAGGCAGCAGUGGGGAAUAUUGCACAAUGGGCGGAAGCCUGAUGCAGCAACGCCGCGUGCGGGAUGACGGCCUUCGGGUUGUAAACCGCUUUCGCCUGUGACGAAGCGUGAGUGACGGUAAUGGGUAAAGAAGCACCGGCUAACUACGUG